rnacentral:rRNA from 1 species
UGGUCUGAGAGGAUGAUCAGCCACACUGGAACUGAGACACGGUCCAGACUCCUACGGGAGGCAGCAGUGGGGAAUAUUGCACAAUGGGCGCAAGCCUGAUGCAGCCAUGCCGCGUGUGUGAAGAAGGCCUUCGGGUUGUAAAGCACUUUCAGUCGUGAGGAAGGUGGUAGUGUUAAUAGCACUAUCAUUUGACGUUAGCGACAGAAGAAGCACCGGCUAACUCCGUGCCAGCAGCCGCGGUAAUACGGAGGGUGCGAGCGUUAAUCGGAAUUACUGGGCGUAAAGCGCAUGCAGGUGGUUUGUUAAGUCAGAUGUGAAAGCCCGGGGCUCAACCUCGGAAUUGCAUUUGAAACUGGCAGACUAGAGUACUGUAGAGGGGGGUAGAAUUUCAGGUGUAGCGGUGAAAUGCGUAGAGAUCUGAAGGAAUACCGGUGGCGAAGGCGGCCCCCUGGACAGAUACUGACACUCAGAUGCGAAAGC